rnacentral:tRNA from 1 species
CUGAAGACCUGUAAAACUCUAAUGUACAUCUCCUAAUUGCAAACCAGGCGCUUUAAUUAAGCGAAAGUC